GGAGUAUAUGAAAAGUUGGUGAAGCCACAGAAACAGCACUUACCUGCCUGGUUGAAAAGAUGAAUGUGUUUGACACAGACCUGAAAGGACUUUCUCGAAUUGAACGUGCAAAUGCUUGCAACUCGGUGAUAAAACAACUUAUGAAGAAGGAAUUCACUCUGGAAUUC